UACGUAGGGGGCAAGCGUUGUCCGGAUUUAUUGGGCGUAAAGAGCGUGUAGGCGGCCAGGUAGGUCUGCUGUGAAAACUCGAGGCUUAACCUCGAGCUGUCGGCGGAAACCAUCUGGCUAGAGUCCGGAAGAGGAGAAUGGAAUUCCCGGUGUAGCGGUGAAAUGCGCAGAUAUCGGGAAGAACACCCGUGGCGAAGGCGGUUCUCUGGGCAGUAACUGACGCUGAGACGCGAAAGCGUGGGGAGCGAACAGG
rnacentral:rRNA from 1 species